CCUAUCAGCUAGUUGGUGGGGUAAUGGCCUACCAAGGCGACGACGGGUAGGGGGUCUGAGAGGAUGAUCCCCCCGAGUGGGACUGAGACACGGCCCACACACCUACGGGUGGCAGCAGUUGGGAAUCUUGCACAAUGGGGGAAACCCUGAUGCAGCGACGCCGCGUGGAGGAUGAAGGAUUUAGGUCUGUAAACUCCUUUUUCAGGGAAAGACUUAGGACGGUACCCUGAGAAUAAGCACCGGCUAACUACGUGCCAGCAGCCGCGGUAAGACGUAGGGUGCAAGCGUUGUCCGGAUUUACUGGGCGUAAAGAGCGCGUAGGCGGUCUGUUAAGUGUGAAGUGAAAUCUCCAGGGCUCAACCCGGAAACUGCUUCGCAUACUGGCAGACUUGAGGGAUGCAGAGGUAAGUGGAAUUCCUGGUGUAGCGGUGACAUGCAUUGAUAUCAGGAGGAACACCCAUGGCGAAGGCAGCUUACUGGGCAUCAUCUGACGCUGAGGCGCGAAAGCGUGGGGAGCAAACAGGAUUAGAUACCCUGGUAGUCC
rnacentral:rRNA from 1 species